UGGGCUCUCUCCCUCGGUCGCAAAUCGCUUUAAUCUUCAACCUCCAGCUCUCUCUCUCCCUCUCUCUUGCAACAGUUGACCAAUUUUUUCAAAACCCAAGCAGAGGAAGUUGCUUGGGACUUCGAGGAAAACAUUGAAGAUCGACAUUGUGAACUUGCUGGAAGGCUUUAAUUUGACUCUGGAAGAUGUUAAAGUUCAGUACAAUGGGCCUUUUGUGUUGUCUAGGUUGUAAGUUCCAAUUGAGUUUUAAUUUGUCCAGUUAUUAGUAAUGCAUGUAGAUGCAAUAAGUCUUGUGAAGAGCAUAAUUUGUUGACUGUUAGAGGCUUUAGGGAUGGCUCGAAUACUUUAGUUCAUUUUAGUUUAUUACAAAAAUAGUAUAUAUAUGAAUGUAAUUGUUUGUUUGAUCGUUGGGUAUGAAUGUUGUUGUUGUCAUUAGUUGAUUCUCAUCUUUUCUGCAUUUGAGAAAUUGAUGAGUUUAAACUAAGCUAUAUCUAUUAGUUGACUGUCAUCUUUUCUUAAGUAUUGAAAAAGGAAAUUUGUGUGUGUGCUUGUAUAUUAUUGUUAUUAAGCAGCGGUGACCCUUAUUAGCUUGUGUGUGCGCAUUUGUAUAUUAUUGUAUAUUAUUGUCCAUUCUAAUAUCCCACUUCCAUUCUUUUGAUGCAUGAAGAGGGUAAGGUGCAGAUUGGGUUUUCUGUAGGCUUCUCCAUAACAUAUUAGUCGGACAGUAAUGAACUUUAACAUGUGGUAUCUAACUGAAAUUAUAGUGGUGUACAUAAAGACAAGAUAUAUUUUUAAGUUAGGAGAAUGCCUUUUCUCCGGUGUGGGAAUGUUUUAUUCUUAAGAUUGAAUUUAUUGUAAUAGAAUACUUGCAUUGAAAGUUCUCCUAAUAGUAUGUUUAUGUAUUAACAAAUGUGUAGGAUACAAAUAGAAAAGCUUAUGUCUGUGUAGUGAGGCAGUAUUCCGGUGCUGAAAACAGAAAGGUUCACCAAGUUGUUGAUCCAAAAAGUCAUGGAAAUGUAUUAACUUCUCGAAGAAAGAUAAGUUUGAAUCCUUAGCUCCUUCUUGAAGAAAGAACAAUUAGUUGGAAUUCUGCAGAAACUGCCCUGCAGCACAACUCUUUUUGUGAAAGGUUGGACUAUUGGGAGUGGUGAUUAGCUACGCUGUGACCUAAGCAAAUUAAGGUAAGCAGUAAUCUUCGGGUGUGUUUUAUGUGAAUAGCAUAGUUAGUUUGUUAAAUUAGCUGAUUGGUAUGUUGAUGAAUUUAGUUGGUUGUUUGUAUCUGUUUAUAUGCAUGUGUGCUCAUUGGAUGUUGACAGUUGUGAACGCAAAUGA
rnacentral:lncRNA from 1 species